CCGAGUGAGCGUUGUUGUUGGCGGCGGCGGCCACGUUGGUUCCGUCUCUUUGUGUUGUUGUCGGGCCGGAGUGAGCAUCUGCUGCUGCUGCUGCCACUCUCCCCACACUACUCUCCUCCGCCACACACCCAGCCAUGGCGCCUACUAAGAAGUCUAAAAAGGCCAUCGAGAGCAUUAACUCUCGGUUGGCUCUUGUGAUGAAGUCUGGCAAGUACGUACUGGGCUACCGUCAGACCCUAAAGUGUCUUCGAGCUGGAAAAGCCAAGCUGGUGAUUCUGGGCAACAACACUCCAUCUCUCAGGAAGUCUGAGAUUGAGUACUAUGCCAUGUUGGCCAAGACGGGUGUUCAUCACUACUCUGGCAAUAAUAUAGAACUGGGAACUGCCUGUGGUAAAUACUUCCGAGUGUGUUCCCUUGCUAUUACUGACCCCGGAGAUUCUGACAUCAUUCGCACAAUGCCAACAGAAUAAACUAGGAGCACUGACGUGGAUGAAUCAUUGUGUGACAAAUUUGCAGUCGACAACAUUACCCAAGUUACAACGGAAAUCUCAAUGUCGGUUCAGAAUAAAAUUGACAAUCGUU